rnacentral:rRNA from 1 species
ACUGCAUUUUUUCUUACACAUGUGUUUUUCUUUUUUUGAAAACUUUGCUUUGGUAGGCCUUCUAUAUGGGGCCUGCCAGAGAUUAAACUCAACCAAAUUUUAUUUAAUGUCAACCGAUUAUUUAAUAGUCAAAACUUUCAACAACGGAUCUCUUGGUUCUCGCAUCGAUGAAGAACGCAGCGAAAUGCGAUAAGUAAUAUGAAUUGCAGAUAUUCGUGAAUCAUCGAAUCUUUGAACGCACAUUGCGCCCUUUGGUAUUCCAAAGGGCAUGCCUGUUUGAGCGUCAUUUCUCCCUCAAACCCUCGGGUUUGGUGUUGAGCGAUACGCUGGGUUUGCUUGAAAGAAAGGCGGAGUAUAAACUAAUGGAUAGGUUUUUUCCACUCAUUGGUACAAACUCCAAAACUUCUUCCAAAUUCGACCUCAAAUCAGGUAGGACUACCCGCUGAACUUAAGCAUAUCAAUA